rnacentral:rRNA from 1 species
UUGGGAAUCUUGGACAAUGGGGGAAACCCUGAUCCAGCCAUGCCGCGUGAGUGAUGAAGGCCUUCGGGUUGUAAAGCUCUUUUACCCGGGAAAAUAAUGACUGUACCGGGAGAAUAAGCCCCGGCUAACUUCGUGCCAGCAGCCGCGGUAAUACGAAGGGGGCUAGCGUUGUUCGGAAUUACUGGGCGUAAAGCGCGCGCAGGUGGUUUCUCAAGUCAGUGGUGAAAGCCCGGAGCUCAACUCCGGAACUGCCAUUGAAACUGUGAAACUUGAGGACGAGAGAGGUGAGUGGAAUUCCCAGUGUAGAGGUGAAAUUCGUAGAUAUUGGGAAGAACACCGGUGGCGAAGGCGGCUCACUGGCUCGUAUCUGACACUCAAGCGCGACAGCGUGGGGAUCAAAC